rnacentral:rRNA from 1 species
CCUACGGGGGGCAGCAGUGGGGAAUAUUGGACAAUGGGGGGAACCCUGAUCCAGCCAUGCCGCGUGUGUGAAGAAGGCCCUCGGGUUGUAAAGCACUUUCAGUGAGGAAGAACGCCUGGUGGUUAAUACCCAUCAGGAAAGACAUCACUCACAGAAGAAGCACCGGCUAACUCCGUGCCAGCAACCGCGGUAAUACGGAGGGUGCGAGCGUUAAUCGGAAUUACUGGGCGUAAAGCGCGCGUAGGUGGCUUGAUAAGCCGGUUGUGAAAGCCCCGGGCUCAACCUGGGAACGGCAUCCGGAACUGUCAAGCUAGAGUGCAGGAGAGGAAGGUAGAAUUCCCGGUGUAGCGGUGAAAUGUGUAGAGAGCGGGAGGAAUACCAGUGGCGAAGGCGGCCUUCUGGACUGACACUGACACUGAGGUGCGAAAGCGUGGGUAGCAAACAGGAUUAGAUACCCCGGUAGUC